CUUUCAUUUCGGGAUAACAGUUUGGAAACGACUGCUAAUACCGAAUAUUCCCUACGGGGGAAAGAUUUAUCGCUGAAGGAUGGGCCCGCGGUUGAUUAGAUAGUUGGUGGGGUAAUGGCCUACCAAGUCGACGAUCAUUUGCUGGUUUGAGAGGAUGAUCAGCCACACUGGGACUGAGACACGGCCCAUACUCCUACGGGAGGCAGCUGUGGGGAAUAUUGGACAAUGGGGGCAACCCUGAUUCAUCCAUGCCGCGUGAGUGAUGAAGGCCCUUCGGUUGUAAAGCUCUUUCUCUCGUGAGGAUAAUGACUGUAUCGAGUUAAGAAUUCCCGGCUAACUUCGUGCCUUCAUCCCGCGGUAAUACUAAGGG
rnacentral:rRNA from 1 species